AUUGAACGCUGGCGGCAGGCCUAACACAUGCAAGUCGAACGGUAACAGGAAGCAGCUUGCUGCUUUGCUGACGAGUGGCGGACGGGUGAGUCAUGUCUGGGAAACUGCCUGAUGGAGGGGGAUAACUACUGGAAACGGUAGCUAAUACCGCAUAACGUCGCAAGACCAAAGAUGGGGACCUUCGGGCCUCUUGCCAUCGGAUGUGCCCAGAUGGGAUUAGCUAGUAGGUGGGGUAACGGCUCACCUAGGCGACGAUCCCUAGCUGGUCUGAGAGGAUGACCAGCCACACUGGAACUGAGACACGGUCCAGACUCCUAAGGGAGGCAGCAGUGGGGAAUAUUGCACAAUGGGCGAAAGCCUGAUGCAGCCAUGCCGCGUGUAUGAAGAAGGCCUUCGGGUUGUAAAGUACUUUCAGCGGGGAGGAAGGGAGUAAAGUUAAUACCUUUGCUCAUUGACGUUACCCGCAGAAGAAGCACCGGCUAACUCCGUG
rnacentral:rRNA from 1 species